rnacentral:rRNA from 1 species
AGUGAACGCUGGCGGUAGGCCUAACACAUGCAAGUCGAACGGCAGCACAGUAAGAGCUUGCUCUUACGGGUGGCGAGUGGCGGACGGGUGAGGAAUACAUCGGAAUCUACUUUUUCGUGGGGGAUAACGUAGGGAAACUUACGCUAAUACCGCAUACGACCUACGGGUGAAAGCAGGGGAUCUUCGGACCUUGCGCGAUUGAAUGAGCCGAUGUCGGAUUAGCUAGUUGGCGGGGUAAAGGCCCACCAAGGCGACGAUCCGUAGCUGGUCUGAGAGGAUGAUCAGCCACACUGGAACGGAGACACGGUCCAGACUCCUACGGAAGGCAGCAGUGGGGAAUAUUGGACAAUGGGCGCAAGCCUGAUCCAGCCAUACCGCGUGGGUGAAGAAGGCCUUCGGGUUGUAAAGCCCUUUUGUUGGGAAAGAAAAGCAGCAGGUUAAUACCCCGCUGUUCUGACGGUACCCAAAGAAUAAGCACCGGCUAACUUCGUG